GUCCCCUUGGCUGGCGGCUGGAGAAGACGAGGUUAGCUUCUUCUCCCAGACUCUUUGCUCACAUCCUUUGCCAGGGCCGAUGUUCCAGAAGUUGUCCAGGAGCUGCCUUCACCGUGCACUGUGUUACGUGGGCUUCUCAGUCCCCACCCCCGCCUUUAUGAAGUCCUCAAGGCUGCAGGUGAAGAUCAGUGUGCUGCAGCUCCAAGUUCACAGUGAAAACUCACAUUCCCCCCUGCUCCGGGA
rnacentral:lncRNA from 1 species